UCGGGUGUUGGACGUCCCGGUUCAAGCGUGUAGGCGUGCUGCAUAGGCAAAUCCGUGCGGCUUAGCUGAGGCGUGACGACGAGGUCUCAUCGAGACUGAAGUAGUUGAUACCCCGCUUCCAGGAAAAGCCUCUAAGCUUCAGUUCAAGGUUGACCGUACCGCAAACCGACACAGGUGGGCAGGGUGAGAAUCCUAAGGCGCUUGAGAGAACUCGGGCGAAGGAACUCGGCAAAUUAGCACCGUAACUUCGGGAGAAGGUGCGCCCCGGUAGGUUGUAGUCCCUCGCGGACGAAGGCCGAUGGGGUUGCAGUGAAAUGGUGGCUGCGACUGUUUAAUAAAAACACAGCACUCUGCAGAGAUGAUGAAUCGACGUAUAGGGUGUGACGCCUGCCCGGUGCCGGAAGGUUAAGUGAUGGGGUGCAAGCUCUUGAUCGAAGCCCCGGUAAACGGCGGCCGUAACGAUAACGGUCCUAAGGUAGCGAAAUUCCUUGUCGGGUAAGUUCCGACCUGCACGAAUGGCGUAACGAUGGCCACACUGUCUCCACCCGAGACUCAGCGAAGUUGAAAUGUUUGUGAUGAUGCAAUCUACCCGCGGCUAGACGGAAAGACCCCGUGCACCUUUACUGUAGCUUUGCAUUGGACUGUGAUGGGAUCUGUGUAGGAUAGGUGGGAGGCGUUGAUGGCGUGCCGCUAGGUGCGCCGGAGCCGACGUUGAAAUACCACCCUGAUGUCAUUGCGGUUCUAACCUUGGGCCAUGAAUCUGGCUCGGGGACCGUGCAUGGUAGGCAGUUUGACUGGGGCGGUCUCCUCCCAAAGUGUAACGGAGGAGUGCGAAGGUACGCUUGGCGCGGUCGGACAUCGCGCUGUAAGUGCAAUGGCAAAAGCGUGCUUGACUGCGAGACUGACAAGUCGAGCAGCUACGAAAGUAGGUCAUAGUGAUCCGGUGGUUCUGUAUGGAAGGGCCAUCGCUCAACGGAUAAAAGGUACGCCGGGGAUAACAGGCUGAUUCCUCCCAAGAGUUCACAUCGACGGGGGAGUUUGGCACCUCGAUGUCGGCUCAUCACAUCCUGGGGCUGUAGCCGGUCCCAAGGGUAUGGCUGUUCGCCAUUUAAAGUGGUACGUGAGCUGGGUUUAAAACGUCGUGAGACAGUUUGGUCCCUAUCUGCCGUGGGCGCUGGAAGUUUGAGGGGGGCUGCUCCUAGUACGAGAGGACCGGAGUGGACGUGCCUCUGGUGUACCGGUUAUGACGCCAGUCGUAUCGCCGGGUAGCUAAGCACGGAAGAGAUAACCGCUGAAAGCAUCUAAGCGGGAAACUCGCCUCAAGAUGAGACUUCCCGAGGCCUUGAGCCUCUUAAAGGGUCGUCGAAGACUACGACGUUGAUAGGCGCCGUGUGCAAGCGUGGCAACACGUUCAGCUAAGGCGUACUAAUUGCCCGUAAGGCUUGAUCC
rnacentral:rRNA from 1 species